rnacentral:misc_RNA from 1 species
UAAGGAGCAGCUGGCGCGAUCCCUUCGGGGGUCGCGUCCAGAGCCAUAUCUCGGGCGAACGUCCCGAGAUGGCAGCUCACUGUGGAGCACUGGUUAUUCGACCAGAUCGUUGCCUAACCCAGUUAGUACGGCCCCUCGGGGCUGGAAGGGUGGCGGCGGUAACGGCCUGGUCGAGCACGCUGUUGGGUCCUGAGGGAACGGGCGUUAAGCCAUCCCUUUGGACCGGCCCGCCCCGCCGCGGAUGCGGAGGUGCGCGGACCGGGACCGCCCGUAUCUUGAGAACUGCACAGUGGACGCGAGCAUCAUCUGUAGU